rnacentral:rRNA from 1 species
UACGUAGGGCGCAAGCGUUAUCCGGAAUUAUUGGGCGUAAAGAGCUCGUAGGCGGUCUGUCGCGUCGGAUGUGAAAGCCCGGGGCUUAACCCCGGGUCUGCAUUCGAUACGGGCAGACUAGAGUGUGGUAGGGGAGAUCGGAAUUCCUGGUGUAGCGGUGAAAUGCGCAGAUAUCAUCAGGAACACCGGUGGCGAAGGCGGCUUUCUGGGUCUUACCUGACGCUGAGGAACGAAAGCCAGGGGAGCGAACGGG